rnacentral:lncRNA from 1 species
AGAGUUUAUCCUGGAAAGAAGAUGCCUGGUCAAAUGGGAAGCGGCAGAGCCAAGAUUCGCAAGUUGGAAAUUGUGAAGGUCGACCCUGAGCUCCGCGCUCUCCUCAUCAAGGGUUCGGUACCCGGAAAGCCAGGCAACCUCCUCAGAAUCACACCAGCAAAGAUAGUGGGCAAGAACAUCCCCAAGAAUUAGGUCUUCAGGUUUACUCUUGUCGUAGGUCAUUUGCUACUUCUUAUCUUUUUGGAGGAGUACGCUAUGUUACUGCCCGCAGUUAAUGCAUUAGCCGAUAAUCAACUUGUAAAGUUAGAUGCACGAGAAAGAUUGUGGAAUUCAAUCAUUGUGGCAACCAUCCAUGUAGGGGUCAUUUUUUUGACGCAGCCAUAUUGUGUGAAUGUUCUAUACUUGCGGCUUCUAUGUCUUAUUCCUGAAACCUGCUAUCUAGAGUAAGGGUGGGUUAUUAAAUGUAUGUAAGCUUACAGAGUUCACAGAAGAGAUUUGUUCUCAUGAGGACUGAGAGUAACCAAAUAGACGCACAUCUUUAGGUUCUGAGCAAUGUCUCCAACCUUGUCUUUCGAAGCCCCGAGAGUGUUUCCAAGCUCGUCUUUAAUUGUAAUAGUUAGGUGUCCUGUUUUAUUGCUGUCAGUGAUCAUUGCAGCCCUGUCUGCUUCAUUGUUGUGAAGUCAAAGUUAUUCCACAGGUCUUUAUGUGAAUUUUAGCCACGUCUAUUUGAUGAGCUUGCCUCCUCGCGUUUAAAUAUAGUGAUUGUCGG